CAGGAAAUGAAAACGUGUCUGCACAAAAAAAAAUGGUCACAAAUUAAACAAAAUAGAAAACCCGUUUUAAAAGUAAAUUGCAAUUAAAACAGCCCGAAUAACCACGGAGAAACUAAGAAAAGAACAAAUAGGUGAAAGUACGGUAACGUUACAGAAGCAGUGUCUGUGUAGCCUGAGUCUUUUUUCUGCCGUAAAUAGUUAGUAUUUAAACCAAUGUUUGCAUCUGAAGUACAUUUCCAAUAAGAUGGUAUUCGCGGAGUUGAGUCUCCGUCUAAACGAUGUUGAAUACAAAAACUGGCUGAAAGCGGGUUAUUGCCUUUUAAAACUGAGAGACGGGUUGCAAAGGGUUUGUGACUAACGAAAUGAGAUCCUUCCACCAAAAACUGUCAAGGAAUAACCCCGUGCUCCGGAGAGGGCAACGGUGUGCAAACUACUGCAAACCUCGAGGGAACCAGCAUUUCUUACUCGCUCCAUUUCCAAUCUGCCUGUUCAUUGUGUGACUAGUGGAAGAAGGAGGUUUUGAAACACCACACUAAUCGGGGAGGAGUCAUUAACUGGGGCAACUGCAAACCCUGGCUGUGGCCCUCUCAGCACUGGGAGCUGGCGAAGGCCUACAUGCCUCGCGGACAGGCAGACGUUCCGGGUCCGGAGAAAUGCGACGCUGCGGCGCUGCUCAACCUCAUCAACUUCUGCGACCACUUCAGCUUCGUCAACCAGCACAAAGUCAGAGAGGUAAUAAAAAGCCGCAAUGAGCUGAUGCAUUCCUGUGAAAUGAAGGUGUCAUAGUGGCUGUGUCAGUAUGAAAGAAAGAUUGAGGAUCUGCUUCUAGAACUGAAACACAUACCAGAAGUGGAAGCGGCGGGGAGAGACAUCAGUGAGGACCUCACUGAUUUACACAGACUGAGGGACUUUUUGAAGAGCAACAAGGACCUGGAAGACAGAUUUCAGGCUGAGCUGCUUGAGGUGGAGUCCCUGGAGUAUCAACUGAAUCAGCCAGGAGACAGGGAGACAGAGGAGCAAGCUCUGGAAGAGGACACAGAUGAUGUCCCACAGAAAAAGAUGAAAAUUAAAAAUUAAGUUUCAAGGUGCUCUGUGUUGCUGUUCAAGAAUGAAUAAUCCAGCAGCAUAGAUCUGAAAAGCAGAACCACUGUGGGGGACAUGAUUUCAAGAUUGCUUACUUUUAAUCCACCCUUUUUUUCUGUAAUACCAGUACUAAUAAAUCUAUUUGA